ACACUGCACAAUAGUAUAGCUGGCUGUGUACAUUUCUAUCAAUAAAAUAUAUGUAAUGUAGGAGAGAGUGGUGUCAGUUGAGCCAAAUGGUCUAUGCGUGCGCCACCCGUGUUUCUAGGAAACAAUGAACAAAAUUAAUAUUUUGACCAAAUAUUUAGGACGAGGUCCUCAUUUCAUGUAGUCUGUGAAGGAGGAAACCACGUUGGAAAAAGUGCCAAUAGCAGCAGGAACUUCUCCUGAGGCAGGAUCAGAGCAAAGCAGCAGUCCCUGCGUCCUCCAGAGGGCAGCUUGGGCAGGUCCAGGAUCUCCCUGCCCUCCACGAUGGCCUCACAGCCACCCUGCAAUGCCACCAUCUGGUCAGGAGGGGACACUGCAUCGCGACUCACCAACACACAGCCGUCAGCUGUCAAUAUGAGGAUUAAAACAAGUCACAUGGUUGGAGGAUCAAGAGGGGGCUGGACCAAGCAGAUAAUACUGCCUAUAGCGUGCACUUGAACUAGAAUAAACAGUGCCACACAUCUGGAUCCACUCACUACAUGUGCAAACCAAAGUGAUGCACUUCAUCAGAGCAUAUAGAACCAUCAGUCCCGGACAGGAGACAGUCUGAACAGCUGUUAUCCCACUAGCAUAUGGCAUUUGACUGCAUCAUAUGACCAUGUCCUCAUUAAUUGAUACAAAUGAUGUGGUCUGAUCUACUAAUCUAUUCUUGAUCUAUUCCUGCCCUAGAUUGUCUGUGCCAGAACUCCAAAGCACUAUUUUUCUCUGCAUUUGCCCAACUAAUUCCACGUUAUGCAAUGCAUGGUAUGUUGAUGGAACAUGCACCACUCAUUUUACAUCAACACAUUUUUUCCACCUAGUCAGCUCUGAGAUUCAAACCAGCAACCUUUCGGUUAUUGGCCCAGCGAGCUUAACCACUAGGCUACCUGCCGCCCACUCCUAAGUGUCCUGUAUUUAGUCACAAUUUAGAAAUGCUGUAUUGAUGCCCGUAAAGCUCAAUAGAUCUAGCUUAGCACCGGACAUAGACUGUAAAACAUUUCCCCGUUGUCAUAAUGCAAAAGAAGCUUGUCUGUUUAUGCUAGUCAUCAUCUAAUAAAUAUUUCUAUGGAUUUGACAUAGGCUUCAAUUUUGUCCCAAAACUGAAGAUAAUCAUUAUUUGACAGAAAUUAAUACAUAAAAAAAAAAACAUCAAUAAAUGUACAUUACAAUAAUAUUUCAAGUAACGUCCUACCAAUUAUUACUACUAAACAAAAAUAACUAAAGUAAAAGAGAGGAGAACUGGUGUCUUACCAUACUUCCUGAGAAAUCCACGGUGAAUCCCUGCAACACUCAUAUUUAAAGGUUAGCCUCCAUGAGAGACAAGGCGCAAGAGAUGGAGAGAGCGAUGGCUGUAUUUAGGAAGGAUGCAAAGUGGGCGAGUGAGCAUGCCUGUGUGUGUUUGGUGUGUUUUAGUGCCGAGGCAUAAUCCCCAUUCAGCUGGAGCAUCCCACACAGGGGCAGUUCAGAAGCUUGGAAUGAGAUUGGUUUUACUGUCCUCAUGCAAGCCAAGUACAAUCACAUAAACAACACGUGCCAGUGCAAAUCAAAAGUAAAGUACUGGAGUAUGAAUGGUCAAAUCUAAUGCAAAAUUCCUAACUUACAAAAUGACCUAUAGCCUAACCAUUUGUGCAACAUUUUCACUAAUGCAAAUAGAAUUAGAGAAAGCACGCAUUCACUGGGUAAAGCACAUAUAAUCUGUACUGUCUAUUGUGCUAUUACUGACAUGGUGCAUAACCACUCUCUUCUCUUGAGCCACUUGAUAGUAUUUCCUAUCGAUACUUGCAUGCACUAAAAUAACUAAGACUUGCACUAUGACUCAGUGAUUUAAGUCCUCAAUCACUAAAACAUGUACUAUGACUCAGUGAUUAAAGUCCUCAAUCACUAAAACAUGUACUAUGACUCAGUGAUUAAAGUCCCCAAUCACUAAAACAUGUACUAUGACUCAGUGAUUAAAUCCUCAAUAAUUGGUGUAUUUCUUAAUCUUAAUCCCAUUAACACUUUCAUGUGAAGUCAACAACAACCCCCUGUGGUAGGGUGCAAUGAGAUCACAUUGACAAUCCCUCACUGGCCUUUGACCCCAGAUUAUGGCGGCCACAGGGGAUUGCUGUAUCUCUCCACAGAUGGUUUGUGGGAAAUAGGAAUGGACAGACUGAUACCAUGUUAAUCUUUAAUAGCCUAUGUGAAUGUUGCAGCAUAAAUCCCAUAUGGUUUUAAAAUAUCAUACAUGGAACAGACCUUAAGCAUUUUGCUGCAGGAUAACAGUCAUUCACAUCUCUGCAGAUAAACAUUUUAUUUGUUUGUAUUUCAUAAGAACUUUAACAAUGAAAACUGACAUUAAGUUUUCUCAUACGUGCAUCCAUCCUUUAUCAUGUGCUAGCGUAUUCUUUCAUACGAAGAUGUGCUUUUCUGUCAUUCAUUAUUUGAAUAUCCAGAUGAGAGAUCAUGUAUAACAUCUUGUUUUUCAAGCCUGGCUCUGAGGACCAACAGGGUGUGUAGGCUUUUGCUCCGGCCCACCGUCAAACAAGGUUCAUUUUAGGAUUGAUAAUUAUUAGUUGAUUAUUUGAAUCAGGUAGUAUUAGCCAUCGAUGAACCCCAAGGACUAUGAUUGAAGAGCACUGCUAUGGCAUGAGAUUAUGCUGUUUUGGCCUAGGACAUUUUAUUGCAGUGUUGUGAUUCUAAGAACGUCCACAAGGGCGCAGUAAUACCCCAUGGACUGUAUGUUGAAUGUUUUUAUGUUGCCAUGAAAUAGGGUUGUGACUAGAUGGAGUACAGCCAUGACCCAAAAGUGACUUUUCGUAGCAGGUUAUGAGAACGUUUUAGCUAACCUUAACUGGUUUCCUAACCUACUACGUUAAUUCUAUUAACAUGCUACAUAAAAGUCACUUCUGGUCGUAGCUGUACACCACUUAGUCAAAACCAGGAAAUAGCCUACUACUAAAUCCUCUGUUUCCUCAUUUUAGAAACACACCCGACUAGUCUUGAGGAGUGAAAUUUGUAGGCCUAUACAUUUGUUUUUGCAUGUGUAAAGUCUGCUGCCUCUAAGAUAAUAAUGUUAUUGACCAUUUUACUGUUUUCUCAGCUGACUGGUAUAUCAUGUUAUGACAGUAUAUCAUGUUAUGACAGUGGAUUUAGAUGUGGAAACAAUGUUGAUUCAACCUUUUUUUGCCCAGUGGUUAAUGUCUACAUUUGUUUUUGCCACGUUUAUUCUAUGACAGACACUUGAACUUUUACAUUAUAUGAUGUGAGCUAAACAUACAAAAUCAUUUUUUCCUUGAAAUAUUUAAUUGAAAUACUAUAGAAUUCCAUUCAUUAUGGAGCAGGCUUUCCCAAAUUCGGUCGAGGAGUGUUUCUUCAAUGAUUGAGUGUGCAUGACGGUCAAUAAAGUAAGUGAAGAAAAGGGAGGGAGGAGUAAUGGAGGGAAAACAUGUCAAGAGCUAAAGUUUGCCCAUAGAGUAAUUCAACCGAUGUUGAGAGACUGUCUAAUACUCGCGCACUAUUUGCUUAUUACAAACUAAACUAGCUGGAUUUGAUGUAUCCUAUUUUUUAAAUUCGACUCCUCGAAGGAGCAAAACAAUUUAAAGAAUUCCCAUGGCAUAGUCUAAAGUAUACUUUUUGGAAAGCAGCUGAAACCUUCAAGAAAUAAAGUCUAACAUCUGGAUACUGUGCAUGGAAGAUGACUCAUUCUUGCCAGGAAUCGUGUAAAUAUGUCUGAGGCAUAGUAGAGAGCAAUCUUAUUCUUCAAGAGCAAACCUGAACGAGGAUGAACGGCAGCGGGGGGUGUGUGCCGUUAUUUGUUCUUCUGUUGAUGGACAGUGCUAGGCCUACCUGUGCCAGGUGAGUCAGCAUGGACGAUAACGGAGGCGCUGUCAUAACGUAUAUUUUAUUAUUUGAAAAACCUUUUUAAAAGUUCAUGUUUUUCCUUCAUUAUGGUUUAUCUUACUUACGAAGGUUUUAGACUGAUAUAGUUACAGAUAUAGGUUUUUAAUUUGAGCCAGUUUGCUACAACAGGAAAGAAUCCUGCAACAACAGAAAAUGUUCAUUAUUACGUGGAUUGUAAUUAAUGAACAUUUUUGUAGGGCUUGAUACAUUUUUCGUACGGGAAAAUCAAGUCUGAUAUUUCAGAGUGGAAAUUACAAACUUCAGAAGCCUUUUUAAACCUCAAAUACACUUCAGGUUUUAUAGUUCCUGCAGUGCAGUAAAGUUCUCUUGCAAGAGGGCGAUCAAAUUAAGAUCCUACAUCUGUAGGCUACUAUUAAAGGGAAUUGACAAUACAAUUUUAUUCUCUAUUUAAUGUUAAACUACUCUUAACUCAUGCUUCCCCUAAUGAACUUUGGUAUUUAUUAAUCUAUGAAUUAAUUAAAAGCAAUAGUCACUGAAUAUCAGUUUAACAUUCAGAGGUGUUGUGGGUGUCCCACCUGUUUUUUUUAAUUAAGUGUUUCAAUUUUUGAAGAGCCCGGCCAACGUAACCUUAUCCCUGGGUAAGCCGCUACAGGUGCUCUGUACUCUCCAGGGAGAUGGGGGUGGAGAGGAGCCUCCGGGUGUGGUGUGGUUGAGGGACGGUCAAUCCCUGGAUUACGCUGACACCAAUCAAGUGUCACUGUCACUGAAGGAGGUUGGCUGACCAUCAGUGAACUCAGAAUUGAUCAUGUGAAGCUGUCAGACAUUGGGAGAUACUGUUGUAUGGCAACAGUUGGGAGGAAGGACUUGAUGUCCCAGGAGGGGCACAUUCAGCUGGAGGGAAUCCCACAUUUCUCAGUGAAGCCUCAUGACGUGACAGUGGUGGCUACUGUUAGCCUCAGCCUGCAGUGUUUGGCCCGUGGGCCUCCAGAACCAGUCAGGAUCAUCUGGCUGCAGAACGGAGGACCACUCAACACGCUACAGGACCCAGUGUCCCAUUCUCCCUCUACUCUCAAUAUCACAGGCAAAGACUGUCUUAU